UCCUUCGGGGCAGGGUGAAAUUCCCGACCGGCGGUGAUGAUCCAUAUGGAUCUCAGCCCGUGACCCGCUACGGCGGUGGAUUCGGUGAAACUCCGAAGCCGACAGUAUAGUCUGGAUGGGAGAAGGA
rnacentral:ncRNA from 1 species